rnacentral:misc_RNA from 1 species
UGAUCAGCAAUAUCAGCAUAGUUGCUAAGUUUUCAACAAUCAAACCCCUCACUUGCACACAAGCAAAUUAAAACGAGAAAUACUAUCUAUGAACAGAUUAUCAUGCUAGUCAACAUACAGCUAAUUUCCACUAUUAAAAUUAAUAUGUAAUAAUUAAAAGACCAGGAUUUUUUGAAGUCAAAUGGAAGCCUAUUUCUACAUCAUUGUUAGAGAAGAUUAUCCUGAAAUCGUUCAUUUCCUGUUGAUCAUCAAAGAAUGAGUUAUUGAUAGCCUUGGCUAUUGUAGAAGGAAAUUGUACCAUGUUAACCAGUGAACAUAACAGGUAAUAAAUUCUACCAUAUAAGAAAAAAGUACAGCUCAAUAUGUGGUGUUAAUUAGCAAUCAGUUUGCUCAAUUACAAGUUUAUGUUUAGAUGAUUAAGAUGUCACUUUUACUUCUUGUGUAAUUUAGCUACAUAUCAGAUGCUGAACCGAGGGGAAAAAGGGAAGGGGAAAAAAAGGAUAGAUCAGAGAAGUA